CACCAACUCUGGCCUCUAUAAUUGACUUUGACCACAUAGGGAACAAUAACACCUAUCGUCGAGUCCAACAUCCAGAAAGAGUCCAAUCCAACACUUCGUUCUCUGCCUCCAUGGUAGUACCAAGAAGAUGAUGUAAACAGAAAAAUCGACCACCUAUCCUCCUUCAUGUGCUUCUAGUAGUCGGUGCAAUGAUGUUCAUCGCACUCUUAGAAGCAGUUGCGCUGACGUUUUCUUGCACUGAUGCCGACAAGUUUGACUUAAUCGACUCAGAAAAGUCGAUCCAAUCAAAUUUCUUCAACUCUGACAAUGAAGGCUUCCUCUCAAUCAAUGAUUGCAACCUCAGUGAUGUGAGGUCCAUGAUUGGAGGAUUAAAUUGACUUCCCUAAAAUCAAUAGACUUAAGGCUUAAAAGCUUGCUAAACUACCAACGACUUUAAGAUGAAGGUGGUGGUUAUGGAUUGAGGAAUAGGUGGGAGUCCCUUGUUCAAUCUAUCGACCCAGAUACUGUGUCCUAUUUUGGGCGACUCCUAUUUUGCUUGCUGUUUUGGGUUGUUGAGGUGGUGUUUUGUGGAUCUAUUUGUGAUGCAUGUGUGUGAUUGUUUGUGCUAUGUGUAUGGUAUAUUUGGAGGCGGUGGUGAUGGAUUAUAGUGGUGAUUUGUGU
rnacentral:lncRNA from 1 species